rnacentral:rRNA from 1 species
UACAGAGGUCUCGAGCGUUAGGCGGAAUCACUGGGCUUAAAGCGUGUGUAGGUGGAUGCCUAAGUACCUUGUGAAAUCCCACGGCUUAACCGUGGAACUGCUUGGUAUACUGGGUGUCUUGAGUCACUCAGGGGCGAGCGGAACAAAUGGUGGAGCGGUGAAAUGCGUAGAUAUCAUUUGGAACGCCAAUGGUGAAAAACAGCUCGCUGGGGGUGCACUGACACUGAGACGCGAAAGCCAGGGGAGCGAACGGG